rnacentral:rRNA from 1 species
GUAACGGCUCACCAAGGCGACGACGGGUAGCCGGCCUGAGAGGGUGACCGGCCACACUGGGACUGAGACACGGCCCAGACUCCUACGGGAGGCAGCAGUGGGGAAUAUUGCACAAUGGGCGGAAGCCUGAUGCAGCGACGCCGCGUGAGGGAUGACGGCCUUCGGGUUGUAAACCUCUUUCAGCAGGGACGAAGCGUAAGUGACGGUACCUGCAGAAGAAGCACCGGCUAACUACGUGCCAGCAGCCGCGGUAAUACGUAGGGUGCGAGCGUUGUCCGGAAUUACUGGGCGUAAAGGGCUCGUAGGUGGUUUGUCGCGUCGACUGUGAAAACCCGUGGCUCAACUGCGGGCUUGCAGUCGAUACGGGCAGGCUAGAGUUCGGUAGGGGAGAUCGGAAUUCCUGGUGUAGCGGUGAAAUGCGCAGAUAUCAGGAGGAACACCGGUGGCGAAGGCGGCUCUCUGGACCUGUCCUGACGCUCAGGCGCGAAAGCUAGGGGAGCAAACAGGAUUAGAUACCCUGGUAGUCCUAGCCGUAAACGUUGGGUGCU